rnacentral:tRNA from 1 species
GCAGAGAUGGCUCAGUGGUUAAGAGCACUGACUGCUCUUCCAAAGGUCCUGAGUUCAAUUCCCAGCAACCACA